UUCCAGGUUGCCCUGUAUCCUGUCAGGUGCAGCUGUGGCUGUGGCCGAGUCUGCGGCGCGCUCCCUCCUCCUGGAUGGCCUCCUGGGAAAUCAGCCUUCCUGUAUUCUCCCAAGGGGCUGUUCCAAAGGGAGAGGAUGGGAGUGAAAGGAAUCAGCCAGCCAGCCUGUGCUACUAGAUGAAUGGAAAACUCUGAUUUAAACAAAGUACUAACAAGGAAUUGUCCUUGAUUUUUGUACUUUGUAGAAAAAUUCUUCCUCAAAUUCUUUUCACAUCUUUCCUUACUGUAAAAACUGCAUUUAAGUUAGAAAAUGAAGCAAUUGAAGAGGAAAAGGAAAAGCAAUUUCAGUGUACAAGAAACUCAGACCCUUUUGAAAG
rnacentral:lncRNA from 1 species